UUUGUGCCGCACCGCGUGGUUCAGAGACCCCAACGCGGUUCUCCUCCGUGCAGCGCUGCCCCGCUUUCGGCCAGGCUGGCAGCGCGUCCGUGCCACCCUUUGCCUCCCUUCUCCCCUUCGCGGGACAGUGUUACGCAAACCGGUCAUUUGUUCCUCUUAUUAUUUAAAGCUUUUCUAUGCUGUCGACCUCCUGCCCCUUCCUCCUGCAAAUCAUUUGCUUUUCCAGAUGCUUCAGUAUUAACUUGUACGAUUUUAUUUCUUCUUCUUUUUUUUUUUUUUUCCUCCUUAUCUCACCUCAAGAAGGAGAGGGAUUACCUCAUUCCCACUGCCUCAGGAAUAAAUCCUCAUUAUGGAUUUGUACCUGGGGAGGAAGAAACUGAUUUCCACUCCCAGCCAGUUCUGAACAGAUAUUUGAAGGUGGAUCUCCAGACACUGCACGUGCCCCGGGGCUGAUCGUUAAAGGUGAACAUUGCCCACUGCUGAACCAGGGUGAGGGAACUGGAGCUAUGGGAAGACCCGAGAAGAGCAUUCCCCGCUCGGUGUCUUCACUCCUCGACUCCGUCCACGCCACGCGUGUCUGGGGCGCGCAGCUGACGCGGGGCUCGGCCGUCCUUUGCCGGUGUUCGCUCUGAGAAAGCCCAGGACCCUCGUCAGUGCACUCCAGCUGUUUCUAUCUCAUCGCUGGCAGGCAGAUGAAGGCAGUCUUUGCUCAGACUUAAUUUCCAGCGCAGCACGUACGGUCCAUGGAGAUGCAUCUGCAGGAAAGAAGCAGCCCAGACAUCAGUUGCACUUCAGCCCCGAUCCACAGCCUCCCGUCCAUGCACCAAUCCCAGGGAACAUGCCCACAACAACUGGAGUUUGCAAGAUUGUUGUUACUGGCCCUGGUCCUGCCUCCCUGCUUAGCAGUUCCCGCACGCCUCCCCCAGAUCCAA